UUUUCCCGUCAAAAAUUGUCUGUGUAAAUUGUUCGAUGUACAUAUUUCUCUUCUAAAAUUGCUUCUUCUUUUUGUGGACACUAUACAUAAUUAUGGAGAAUCCAGAUAAUUUGUUAGCUUAUAGAGUGAUUCAUGUCUUUAGAACCCGGUCUCCUUGCAAAAGAUUAUUUUCUCAAAUUUUUAUUAUGUGGAUUUUUGAAUUCUAAUCUAGAGGAGGGAUCUCCGGGAUCUAAUGAUUUGAAAAGCACCGCAUAUGGAUCCAGGCAAUUGACAACAAUGUUAAAUUUUCUUCAGUUUCGAAAGAUGAAAGAUCGAUAUUAUUGAAGAGAAAAAGUGGCUGAUUUAUCGUUGUCUUCACAUUUUCGCCGCUGUCAUCACUCAUCGCCCAUGUUUCAGCUGUAAUACCUGAAGAACAGGAUGGAUGUUGGUGAAGAAGAGCAGCUUGUGUUUUUUUUUCAAAUAAGUUAGUGUGAUUCCCGAUCUCCGCAAAAGUGCAAGCAAGAAGGUGGAAAUGCAACAAAAGUGACGGGACUUCAGUUUUCAUCUUCAGGCGGGCAGUGUGUUGACCUAAUUGGUACGUUGAGAACAAUAUAGACGCGGUUCAAAUAGCAGGUCAGAAUACCAUUAGGAAUUAAAAUUUACAAAUAUUUUAUUUGUUUCGGGAGUGAUAAUUUUAUUUUCUCAAAACCGCGAGUGAUUUUUUGUUUUUUCUUUAAAUAUAUUUUUCCGUAAUUUUUUUAAAAAUUAUUUUUGUUUCGGAAAUAUUUAAAUUUAAGUAAAUUGCGUCAUAAAAAUUUUAAAUAUUUUUCCAAAAUUUUAAUUUUUUUUUAAAUUCUGACUUUCACGUGAUCUCGGUAGUUUUCGCAUUUUCUUAAAACCGCGUCCGUUCCUUAAGAAGUAUUAUUUAACAUAAAAUAUUAUUAUUGUGAGUUCCGGAGUGUUUGACUUUUUUGAAAUCGCGUGUGAAAUUUUUUUGGAAAAUAAAUUUAAGUACCACUCCAGAAUGGAAAUCAGGGACGGUCAAAUGG